UUGCAGACUAUUGUUGGUGUAAUUUGUAAGCCGGCUGGACUCAGUCACAGCUAUGGAGCUAUAUUCAUUCCAGAAAGAUGACGAUCCAAUAAAUGAAGAUGUUUCGGAAGUGAAAUUGAUGCUCCUCAUGGCAUUAGAUUCAGCAACCACUGAAAAAACACUCUGUUACAGAUUUAGAAGCUAGAUGAUGACUAAGGGUUGAAGAGAUUUCAACCUUUCUCAAACUGAAGGGAGUUUCAUUGAAUAUUCAAGGGGAGUUGAACACUUUUACCUAAGCUGGAUGUUUUAAGUGAUGAAUGAGUGGAAUGCCCAUGUUCUUCUUCAGACAUGUGCAACUUUUUAUUAAUCUAUAUCUAAUUUUUCAGUUUAUAUUCUAAAAAUUAUUACUGAAAAUUUUGGUUGUUUGAUUAAUUUGGUUAUUGUGAAUUUAAGAUUUCUAAACUUGGUCUCAUAGAGGUCGGAUAUGUUUAUAGUUGAACCAUGUAAUAAUCAUUCAUCCCUCUAUGUGUAAUGCUUGUU